GAUUGAGUCAGCUAAUUAAGCUUUCGGGCCCAUACCCCGAACAUGACGGUUAAAGUCCCUCCUCCAUCA
rnacentral:tRNA from 1 species